AACCCCUGGCAGUGGGCAAAGAGACACUUUGUUGGUGGUGUUCUUAUAUCAGUCAGGGGCAGAGCAGUUGGCAGUCCUUUGCUCAUCCUAGCUUGAUGCCUGGCUGGGUGGACAAAGCUGUCUUAUGCCUAGGACUCAGAA